rnacentral:rRNA from 1 species
AUUGAACGCUGGCGGCAUGCUUUACACAUGCAAGUCGAACGGCAGCGCGGGCUUCGGCCUGGCGGCGAGUGGCGAACGGGUGAGUAAUACAUCGGAACGUGCCCAGUAGUGGGGGAUAGCUCGGCGAAAGCCGGAUUAAUACCGCAUACGACCUGAGGGUGAAGGCGGGGGAUCUUCGGACCUCGCGCUAUUGGAGCGGCCGAUGGCAGAUUAGUUAGUUGGUGGGGUAAAGGCCUACCAAGGCGACGAUCUGUAGCUGGUCUGAGAGGACGACCAGCCACACUGGGACUGAGACACGGCCCAGACUCCUACGGGAGGCAGCAGUGGGGAAUUUUGGACAAUGGGCGAAAGCCUGAUCCAGCAAUGCCGCGUGUGUGAUGAAGGCCUUCGGGUUGUAAAGCACUUUUGGCGGGAACGAAAAGGACUGUGCCAAUACCACGGUUCGAUGACGGUACCCGCAGAAUAAGCACCGGCUAACUACGUG